rnacentral:rRNA from 1 species
GAUGAACGCUGGCGGCGUGCCUAAUACAUGCAAGUCGAGCGAACAGACGAGGAGCUUGCUCCUCUGACGUUAGCGGCGGACGGGUGAGUAACACGUGGAUAACCUACCUAUAAGACUGGGAUAACUUCGGGAAACCGGAGCUAAUACCGGAUAAUAUAUUGAACCGCAUGGUUCAAUAGUGAAAGACGGUUUUGCUGUCACUUAUAGAUGGAUCCGCGCCGCAUUAGCUAGUUGGUAAGGUGACGGCUUACCAAGGCAACGAUGCGUAGCCGACCUGAGAGGGUGAUCGGCCACACUGGAACUGAGACACGGUCCAGACUCCUACGGGAGGCAGCAGUAGGGAAUCUUCCGCAAAGGGCGAAAGCCUGACGGAGCAACACCGCGUGAGUGAUGAAGGUCUUCGGAUCGUAAAACUCUGUUAUUAGGGAAGAACAAAUGUGUAAGUAACUAUGCACGUCUUGACGGUACCUAAUCAGAAAGCCACGGCUAACUACGUG